rnacentral:rRNA from 1 species
UACGGAGGAUGCAAGCGUUAUCCGGAAUGAUUGGGCGUAAAGCGUCCGCAGGUGGCUAUGUAAGUCUGCUGUUAAAGAGUGAGGCUCAACCUCAUAAAAGCAGUGGAAACUACAUGGCUAGAGUGCGUUCGGGGCAGAGGGAAUUCCUGGUGUAGCGGUGAAAUGCGUAGAUAUCAGGAAGAACACCGGUGGCGAAAGCGCUCUGCUAGGCCGCAACUGACACUGAGGGACGAAAGCUAGGGGAGCAAACGGG